AAUCAACGCUGGCGGCGUGCCUCAGACAUGCAAGUCGAACGCGAAAGUCCCCUUCGGGGACGAAGUAGAGUGGCGCACGGGUGAGUAACACGUAGGUAAUCCACCUUCGGAGUGGGAAGUAACAACCGGAAACGGGUUGCUAAUACCGCAUAAUGCAGCGGCACCUAAUGGUGACAGUUGUUAAAGACGGGGAGUCGAAAGACCUCGCGUCUGAAGAGGAGCCUGCGGCGGAUUAGCAGUUGGUAGGUAACGG
rnacentral:rRNA from 1 species